CAGCCGCCACGGGAAUACGGAGGGUGCAAGCGUUAAUCGGAAUUACUGGGCGUAAAGCGCACGCAGGCGGUCUGACAAGUCAGAUGUGAAAUCCCCGGGCUUAACCUGGGAACUGCAUUUGAAACUGUCAGGCUGGAGUCUUGUAGAGGGGGGUGGAAUUCCAGGUGUAGCGGUGAAAUGCGUAGAGAUCUGGAGGAAUACCGGUGGCGAAGGCGGCCACCUGGACAAAGACUGACGCUCAGGUGCGAAAGCGUGGGGAGCAAACAGGAUUAGAUACCCCGGUAGUCCCUGUCUCUUAUAC
rnacentral:rRNA from 1 species